UACGGAGGGUGCGAGCGUUAAUCGGAAUUACUGGGCGUAAAGGGUUCGUAGGUUGUUUGUCAAGUUAUCUGUGAAAUCCCCUGGGCUUAACCUGGGAAGGUCAGAUAAAACUGAUGAACUCGAGUAUUGGAGAGGGUAGUGGAAUUUCCGGUGUAGCGGUGAAAUGCGUAGAGAUCGGAAGGAACACCAGUGGCGAAGGCGGCUACCUGGCCAAAUACUGACACUGAGGAACGAAAGCGUGGGGAGCAAACAGG
rnacentral:rRNA from 1 species